GACGAACGCUGGCGGCGUGCCUAACACAUGCAAGUCGAGCGGACGGAUGGGAGUUUGCUCCCAGACCGUCAGCGGCGGACGGGUGAGUAACACGUGGGCAACCUGCCUGUAAGACUGGGAUAACUCCGGGAAACCGGGGCCAAUACCGGAUAACUCUUUCCCUCAUAUGAGGGAAAGCUGAAAGAUGGCAUCUCGCUAUCACUUACAGAUGGGCCUGCGGCGCAUUAGCUAGUUGGUGAGGUAACGGCUCACCAAGGCGACGAUGCGUAGCCGACCUGAGAGGGUGAUCGGCCACACUGGGACUGAGACACGGCCCAGACUCCUACGGGAGGCAGCAGUAGGGAAUCUUGCGCAAUGGGCGAAAGUCUGACGGAGCAACGCCGCGUGGGUGAUGAAGGUUUUCGGAUCGUAAAACUCUGUUGUCAGGGAAGAACGAGUACCGGAGUAACUGCCGGUGCCUUGACGGUACCUGACCAGAAAGCCACGGCUAACUACGUG
rnacentral:rRNA from 1 species